GACGAACGCUGGCGGCGUGCUUAACACAUGCAAGUCGAACGGAAAGGCCCUGCUUUUGUGGGGUGCUCGAGUGGCGAACGGGUGAGUAACACGUGAGUAACCUGCCUUUUGCUACGGAAUAACUCAGGGAAACUUGUGCUAAUACCGUAUGUGCCCUUCGGGGGAAGAUUUAUCGGCAAAGGAUGAGCCCGCGUUGGAUUAGCUAGUUGGUGGGGUAAAGGCCUACCAAGGCGACGAUCCAUAGCUGGUCUGAGAGGAUGAUCAGCCACACUGGGACUGAGACACGGCCCAG
rnacentral:rRNA from 1 species